GAUGAAGAACGCAGCGAAAUGCGAUAAUUAAUGUGAAUUGCAGAAUUCAGUGAAUCAUCGAGUCUUUGAACGCACAUUGCGCCCCCUGGUAUUCCGGGGGGCAUGCCUGUCCGAGCGUCAUUGCUGCCCUCAAGCACGGCUUGUGUGUUGGGCUUCCGUCCCUGGCAACGGGGACGGGCCCAAAAGGCAGUGGCGGCACCAUGUCUGGUCCUCGAGCGUAUGGGGCUUUGUCACCCGCUCCCGUAGGUCCAGCUGGCAGCUAGCCUCGCAACCAAUCUUUUUAACCAGGUUGACCUCGGAUCAGGUAGGGAUACCCGCUGAACUUAAGCAUAUCAAUAAGCAGGA
rnacentral:misc_RNA from 1 species